GGAAACCCUGAUCUAGCCAUGCCGCGUGAGCGAUGAAGGCCUUAGGGUUGUAAAGCUCUUUCAGAUGGGAAGAUAAUGACGGUACCAUCAGAAGAAGCCCCGGCUAACUCCGUGCCAGCAGCCGCGGUAAUACGGAGGGGGCUAGCGUUGUUCGGAAUUACUGGGCGUAAAGCGCGCGUAGGCGGAUUGGAAAGUUGGGGGGUGAAAAUCCCGGGGGCUCAACCUCGGAACUGCCUUCAAAACUCCCAGUCUUGAGUUCGAGAGAGGUGAGUGGAAUUCCGAGUGUAGAGGUGAAAUUCGUAGAUAUUCGGAGGAACACCAGUGGCGAAGGCGGCUCACUGGCUCGAUACUGACGCUGAGUGCGAAAGUCGUGGGGAGCAAACAGGAUUAGAUACCCUGGUAGU
rnacentral:rRNA from 1 species